rnacentral:ncRNA from 1 species
AAUGGCCGGGACAAAGGGUCGCGAUCCCGCGAGGGUGCGCUAACCUUAAAAAUCCGUCCUCAGUUCGGAUUGCAGGCUGCAACUCGCCUGCAUGAAG